ACAGGAUGUUGUUUGAAUUGCUUGUCCUAUCAGGUGCACAGGUUGGGAUGGAUUGGACUUCUAUCUUGAGAAAACGCCAUGAUUUUAGGGUUGCUUUCGCCGGGUUUGAUGCAGAAAUCGUUGCCAACUUCACAGAAAGACAAAUAGCAUCAGUGGCCACAGAUUGCAACCUGGAUUUAAACAAGGUUCGAGGUGCUGUUAACAAUACUAAUAGAAUCCUCCAGGUCAGAUUGUUGAUUGGACCUGAUUUUAUUUAAA